rnacentral:rRNA from 1 species
AUACAUGCAAGUCGAGCGAACGGACGAGAAGCUUGCUUCUCUGAUGUUAGCGGCGGACGGGUGAGUAACACGUGGAUAACCUACCUAUAAGACUGGGAUAACUUCGGGAAACCGGAGCUAAUACCGGAUAAUAUUUUGAACCGCAUGGUUCAAAAGUGAAAGACGGUCUUGCUGUCACUUAUAGAUGGAUCCGCGCUGCAUUAGCUAGUUGGUAAGGUAACGGCUUACCAAGGCAACGAUGCACAGCCGACCUGAGAGGGUGAUCGGCCACACUGGAACUGAGACACGGUCCAGACUCCUACGGGAGGCAGCAAUAGGGAAUCUUCCGCAAUGGGCGAAAGCCUGACGGAGCAACGCCGCGUGAGUGAUGAAGGUCUUCGGAUCGUAAAACUCUGUUAUUAGGGAAGAACAUAUGUGUAAGUAACUGUGCACAUCUUGACGGUACCUAAUCAGAAAGCCACGGCUAACUACGUGCCAGCAGCCGCGGUAAUACGUAGGUGGCAAGCGUUAUCCGGAAUUAUUGGGCGUAAAGCGCGCGUAGGCGGUUUUUUAAGUCUGAUGUGAAAGCCCACGGCUCAACCGUGGAGGGUCAUUGGAAACUGGAAAACUUGAGUGCAGAAGAGGAAAGUGGAAUUCCAUGUGUAGCGGUGAAAUGCGCAGAGAUAUGGAGGAACACCAGUGGCGAAGGCGACUUUCUGGUCUGUAACUGACGCUGAUGUGCGAAA